UACAGAGGGUGCUAGCGUUGUUCGGAAUUACUGGGCGUAAAGGGCUCGUAGGCGGCCAACUAAGUCAGACGUGAAAUCCCUCGGCUUAACCGGGGAACUGCAUCUGAUACUGGAUGGCUUGAGUUCGGGAGAGGGAUGCGGAAUUCCAGGUGUAGCGGUGAAAUGCGUAGAUAUCUGGAGGAACACCGGUGGCGAAGGCGGCAUCCUGGACCGACACUGACGCUGAGGAGCGAAAGCCAGGGGAGCAAACGGG
rnacentral:rRNA from 1 species